AACCUCCGCAAUGUGAGAAAUCGCGACGGGGGGAUCCCAAGUGCCAUUCUUAACGGGAUGGCUUUUCUUAAGUGUAAAAAGCUUUUGGAAUAAGAGCUGGGCAAGACCGGUGCCAGCCGCCGCGGUAACACCGGCAGCUCUAGUGGUAGCUGUUUUUAUUGGGCCUAGAGCGUUCGUAGCCGGUUUGAUAAGUCACUGGUGAAAUCCUGUAGCUUAACUGUGGGAAUUGCUGGUGAUACUGUUGAACUUGAGGUCGGGAGAGGUUAGCGGUACUCCCAGGGUAGAGGUGAAAUUCUGUAAUCCUGGGAGGACCACCUGUGGCGAAGGCGGCUAACUGGAACGAACCUGACGGUGAGGGACGAAAGCUAGGGGCGCGAACCGGAUUAGAUACCCGGGUAGUCCUAGCCGUAAACGAUGCGGACUUGGUGUUGGGAUGGCUUUGAGUCCGCUCCGGUGCCGAUGGGAAGCUGUUAAGUCCGCCGCCUGGGAAGUACGGUCGCAAGACUGAAACUUAAAGGAAUU
rnacentral:rRNA from 1 species